GAUGAACGCUGGCGGCGUGCCUAAUACAUGCAAGUCGAGCGAACGGACGAGAAGCUUGCUUCUCUGAUGUUAGCGGCGGACGGGUGAGUAACACGUGGAUAACCUACCUAUAAGACUGGGAUAACUUCGGGAAACCGGAGCUAAUACCGGAUAAUAUUUUGAACCGCAUGGUUCAAAAGUGAAAGACGGUCUUGCUGUCACUUAUAGAUGGAUCCGCGCUGCAUUAGCUAGUUGGUAAGGUAACGGCUUACCAAGGCAACGAUGCAUAGCCGACCUGAGAGGGUGAUCGGCCACACUGGAACUGAGACACGGUCCAGACUCCUACGGGAGGCAGCAGUAGGGAAUCGUCCGCAAUGGGCGAAAGCCUGACGGAGCAACGCCGCGUGAGGGAUGAAGGUCUUCGGAUCGUAAAACUCUGUUAUUAGGGAAGAACAUAUGUGUAAGUAACUGUGCACAUCUUGACGGUACCUAAUCAGAAAGCCACGGCUAACUACGUG
rnacentral:rRNA from 1 species